ACAUGCCUACAAUAUAGUGUUAGUGCACUGGAUCCCAUUAUAACUUUGCAGUUAAGCAUGCUCAGGGAACUCCGCAGUUAAGCUCGCUUAGGCUAGAUUAGUACUAGGAUGGGUCACCGCCCGUGAAGUCCUAGUGUUUUACAUGGC
rfam:Picea glauca, whole genome shotgun sequence.